rnacentral:lncRNA from 1 species
UAAACCAUUUUAGAAAAAUUGACAAUCAAUAAAAGGAUUGUGAAAUAACUGAUCCUGGUUGAUCAACUCUAUGUAGCAAUCCAGAUAAAUGGCAUAUCCACAAACCAUGAUCGUUGCAGCCAGGGCCGGAUGUACUUGAAGCCCAGGAGGGUCCUAGGCAACCCCUGAACUUCUUAAAUGCAAUAUACUUUUGUUCUAAAAAUGGCUUAAAAUCAAUAUAGGCACCUAAUAAAAUUUUAUAUUAGGCACCCAUACAGUUCUUUGCUUCUUUACUGGCACUCAACUUCUUAAUAUUUUAUUCUAACCCACUGAAUUUUGUAACAAAUUUGUGAAUAAUCUGAACGCUCAACGACUUACCUUUUUAAAGUGGAGAAGCGUUAACCAGCUUUUUUUUAUCUGAACUAGCUUUAAUCCAUUAUCCAAGUCAUCUAUGACAAAAAGAACACUUCUAAAUUGGUUUGAAAUCAAACCCAUCACUUGCAAUUUGCAACCAAUAAGAUGAAAAUUAGAAGUUCAGUCAUAUCAGCACACCAAGGUUUCAACUAUUGUGUUGUGCACUUUGCAACAAAAUUAAGUCUCCAUCAGUUAAAACAUGUAACAAAGAAUACAUAAUCUUCUACUAAAUUCAAACUAUUUUACCUGCAUACCCCUAAAGCAUUCACACUUUCCUGCUACACGAAUGCAAC